rnacentral:tRNA from 1 species
UCCCUGGUGGCUCAGUUGGUAAAGAAUCUGCCUACAAUGCAGGAGACCUGGGUUCGAUUCCUGGGUUGGGAA